rnacentral:tRNA from 1 species
GGUAGCGUGGCCGAGUGGUUAAGGCGGUUGUCUCGAAAACAAUUUGGAAUUUUCCUUCAUCAGUUCGAAUCUGAUCGCUAUCG